rnacentral:rRNA from 1 species
AGGACGAACGCUGGCGGCGUGCCUCAUACAUGCAAGUGGAGCGACGAACCAGGAUUUAUCCUGGGGCAAAGUCGCGAACGGGUGAGUAACACGUGGGUUACCUGCCUCAAUGACUGGGACAACCCGAGGAAACUCGGGCUAAUACCGGAUGUGCCCGCAAGGGGAAAGGAAGCUUCGGCCUCCGCAUUGAGAUGGGCCCGCGGCCCAUUAGCUUGUUGGUGAGGUAACGGCUCACCAAGGCUUCGAUGGGUAGCUGGUCUGAGAGGACGAUCAGCCACACUGGGACUGAGACACGGCCCAGACUCCUACGGGAGGCAGCAGUGGGGAAUCUUGGACAAUGGGGGCAACCCUGAUCCAGCAAUGCCGCGUGAGUGAAGAAGGCCUUCGGUUGUAAGCUCUUUAUUCGGGAAGAAAGGGACUAAUAAACGGGUUUCUGAUGACGGUACCGAAGGAAUCAGCACCGGCUAACUACGUGCCAGCAGCCGC